rnacentral:rRNA from 1 species
GACGAACGCUGGCGGCGUGCCUAAUACAUGCAAGUAGAACGCUGAAGAGAGGAGCUUGCUCUUCUUGGAUGAGUUGCGAACGGGUGAGUAACGCGUAGGUAACCUGCCUUGUAGCGGGGGAUAACUAUUGGAAACGAUAGCUAAUACCGCAUAACAAUAGGUGACACAUGUCAUUUAUUUGAAAGGGGCAUUUGCUCCACUACAAGAUGGACCUGCGUUGUAUUAGCUAGUAGGUGAGGUAACGGCUCACCUAGGCGACGAUACAUAGCCGACCUGAGAGGGUGAUAGGCCACACUGGGACUGAGACACGGCCCAGACUACUACGGGAGGCAGCAGUAGGGAAUCUUCGGCAAUGGGGGCAAACCUGACCGAGCAACGCCGCGUGAGUGAAGAAGGUUUUCGGAUCGUAAAGCUCUGUUGUAAGUCAAGAACGAGUGUGAGAGUGGAAAGUUCACGCUGUGACGGUAGCUUACCAGAAAGGGACGGCUAACUACGUG